GUCUAAAGUGACUGUAGAAGCCUUUUUUAAGUUGUCGCCUAAACCGUUGACGUAAGGAGGUACGAAAUUUUGAUCUGAGCAGUAUUCACCAUGAGUUCGGAGAAAAGAAAAACGAAUUACGAUGAGAAACAGUUGGAGCAGGCAAUGAAUGAAGUGAAGGCAGGUAUUCCUGUGCGAACAGCUGCUAUGAAGUUUCAUAUCCAAAGACUAUGCUACUAUAUAAAAGCUGCGGACAACUAUCACCAGGUAUUGACAAACCAGGACCAGAAUGUGUGUUAGGACAAGAUAACGAAAAAUAUCUUGUUGAAUGGAUUUUUUAUAUGAAGAAGCAUGGAUUUCCUAUAAAAAAGGCACAACUGUUGAAUAGUGUUUGCAUGUUAUUGAACACUAUGGAAAAAGAAACAAUAUUGUCAAAUAAUAUGUCUGGUCGACACUGGUAUAACGGUAUCAGUGAGAGAAUUGCUCAAAACCGAGCCGCAGUGUCGGAAGAAAAGAUCAGAGCCUGGUUUCAAGAAGCUUAACCCGAAAGGGAAUUCAAUUCUCGCGACGAAAGGUGACAAGACUGUCUACAAUAUCGUCAGAAACGAUGAAAAAGAAUGUUUAACAACGUUAAUUUGUAGAAAUGCUGCCGGAAAAAUGCUUCCACCAAUGGUACUAUUUCCAUAUAAGAGAAUUCCACGUAAUAUCAUCACCAGUAUUCCAAAAGAUUGGGGGAUUGGAUGCUUUGAUAGUGGAUGGAUGACGGCAGAAGGAUUUUUUAAUUAUGUAGCUAAUGUAUUUCAUUCUUGGUUAUUAAAAAGUAAAAUAACAUUUCCAA
rnacentral:misc_RNA from 1 species